UACGUAGGCAGCAAGCGUUAUUCGGAAUUACUGGGCGUAAAGAGUGUGUAGGCGGUGCUCCAAGUCUGGUGUGAAAUCUCCCGGCUUAACUGGGAGGGUGCAUUAGAAACUGGAAUGCUAGAGGAUGGGAGAGGUAAGCGGAAUUCCUGGUGUAGCGGUGAAAUGCGUAGAUAUCAGGAGGAACACCUGUGGUGUAGACAGCUUACUGGACCAUUUCUGACGCUGAGACACGAAAGCGUGGGUAGCAAACAGG
rnacentral:rRNA from 1 species